rnacentral:rRNA from 1 species
UACGGAGGGGGCUAGCGUUGUUCGGAAUGACUGGGCGUAAAGCGCGCGUAGGCGGAUCAGCAAGUCAGGGGUGAAAUCCUGGAGCUCAACUCCAGAACUGCCUUUGAUACUGGCGAUCUCGAGUCCGGGAGAGGUGAGUGGAACUGCGAGUGUAGAGGUGAAAUUCGUAGAUAUUCGCAAGAACACCAGUGGCGAAGGCGGCUCACUGGCCCGGUACUGACGCUGAGGUGCGAAAGCGUGGGGAGCAAACAGG